rnacentral:sRNA from 1 species
GGACAGCCAUCGCCGAGUCCCCGUACGGCGCGAGCCAGGGGAGCCGGGGACCCACGCAGUCCCUGGGGUGAAUCGGGCGCCCGCGCGAGCCGCGAGGGGGCCCGUAGGAGACCUUCCUGCUCCGAACCCGUCAGCUAACCCGGUAGGCGAGAGGGAAGGAAAGG